GUUGACUCUCCUUGUGUAAGACAAGGGCUGGGGCAGGCUUAUAAAUAGGGAUCUCCGCUACGCCAUAGAGGACCUACCUUGGACCUAAAUGGAGGAAGAAUGGUGAGUACUUGGAGGGUCCUGCUGCUGCUGGGCCUGGCUACAGCAGUCACAGCUUUACCUAGAAGAAGGCUGACCUACAAGGAUGCUUCAGUCCUGGCUGCAAGGAGGUUUAACAAGAACUUAAAUGAAGGAGCAAAGUAUCGCGUUCUGGUGUCCAGUCUUCCAACUCCAGACUCACUUCUGGAGCUGCCACUGACAUUCAGAAUAAAGGAAACGGAGUGUCCUUCAUCAGGGCAGCAGAACCCAGAAACCUGUGCCUUCAAAGAGAAUGGAUUGGAGAAGAACUGUACAGCGAAGUUCACCAGGCUGACUCCUUUAGGGCUGAGUUCCGUCGAAUGCCAGGAUGUCGGCAAUAACAACAAUUUGGAAAGUUCACGUUAAAAGAUCUUCAUCCAAUGGAAUCAUUGACACCAGAUCCCUUCCACCCAAAAUUAGACAGAUAUAUGACCAGGCCAGAUAUAACACAAUACUUGGAAUCUUGAGGAACUUCUAAGGAAAAGAACUAGAAAAGAACCAGUGAAAUGGAGAAGCUUUGGUUGAUAUAAAAGCUGCACCUUUAUCCCUCUCCCUCCCUGCUUUGGUUGGAAAAUCCUCCCUCCCUGCUUUGGUUGGAAAUAAAUAAAAGUUGCAAUAAAAACUCUUCA
rnacentral:lncRNA from 1 species